UUUCAGAGCUUCCCAAUCUGUCCAAAAUCCAUCUGCUCUCAGAUUACACAGAAGAUGACCUCCCUCACUAUCUCUUGCUUAUAUUUACAAAAUAUAUUCCUCUAACCACUUGAUAUCUAACUAGGCCCCACUCACCUAACUAUAGCUCUCCAAUACUCCCCCCAAUUUAAAACUUCCGUUCCUUUUUCAAUCCUUCUCCCAUAGGCUAUUAGUUACUUUUUGUGGAAGACGUUUUACCAUAGCUAAAGCUGCCAGCACUAUACCAUGAACUUCCAUGACCCCUUAUCCACCCGAUUUUUAGUGGGAUUACCAAUUAUUUAAUGUCAUAGUUGAAAAUUUCAGUCUCAAUGUCCAAGGUAUUGAGAGAGUAGGAGGACCCCAUUUGGUUAGGCGGGAGAUGGUGGUGAAGCUAGUGGAACUAGGAGGAUUAGGGAUAUGAAGCUUGAGAUUACAAGACAAGGAUCACCUAGCAAAAUAGCUGUGGGCGUUCUUCAGGGAGCCUAAUGAUUUCCAGUAUAAAGUUGCUCAGAGUAGAUACGGUCCACACCCAUCAAAGUGGGUUUCAAGAGGUUUAUUUUUGGGAGGAUUGUUGGGUCGGUGAUAACCCCUUUGUGCAUUGUUUCUACAUUAAUACCAUCUCUCGACUAAGAGGUUGCACUCUAUUGUCUUGAUAUCGCCUAUUUUAGCAAUGUCAUCUACAGAUAUUGGUUGGGAAAUUCCUAGACAAUUUUCCUUAUUUGUUCCUGCUGCUGCACCUUCCUUGAAAAAAAUUUACCUUAUAUGGUCUAAUCGACAAAAUGAUAUGCUGUAAUCACUAUUCUCCACACUAAAUUCAAUAUCAUGGUGAAAAUAUCGUAUGCUUUUUAAGGCAGAAUGUUAGUAAUACCUGUUUAUGUAGUCCUGAAGUUGACGCA